GGGCUCGUGGUUUAGUGGUAUAAUACUCCCUUAGCAGUCCAUGAAUGGGAGUGGUCCGGGGUUCGAUUCCCCGCGAGUCCA
rnacentral:tRNA from 2 species